rnacentral:rRNA from 1 species
UACGUAGGGGGCCAGCGUUGUCCGGAUUUAUUGGGCGUAAAGAGCGUGUAGGCGGUUCGGUAGGUCCGUUGUGAAAACUCGAGGCUCAACCUCGAGACGCCGAUGGAAACCCCCGAACUAGAGUCCGGAAGAGGAGAGUGGAAUUCCCGGUGUUGCGGUGAAAUGCGCAGAUAUCGGGAAGAACACCCGUGGCGAAAGCGGCUCACUGGACCAUUACUGACGCUGAGGCUCGAAAGCUAGGGGAGCAAACAGG